rnacentral:rRNA from 1 species
CUCCAGACUCCUACGGGAGGCAGCAGUGAGGAAUAUUGGUCAAUGGGCGAGAGCCUGAACCAGCCAAGUCGCGUGAGGGAGGACGGCCCUACGGGUUGUAAACCUCUUUUGCCGGGGAACAAACGGCGGCACGCGUGCCGUCCUGAGGGUACCCGGAGAAAAAGCAUCGGCUAACUCCGUGCCAGCAGCCGCGGUAAUACGGAGGAUGCGAGCGUUAUCCGGAUUUAUUGGGUUUAAAGGGUGCGUAGGCGGUCCGUUAAGUCAGCGGUAAAAUUGCGGGGCUCAACCCCGUCGAGCCGUUGAAACUGGCAGACUUGAGUUGGCGAGAAGUACGCGGAAUGCGCGGUGUAGCGGUGAAAUGCAUAGAUAUCGCGCAGAACUCCGAUUGCGAAGGCAGCAUACCGGCGGCGAUCUGACGCUGAGGCACGAAAGCGUGGGUAUCGAACAGGAUUAGAUACCCGAGUA